rnacentral:lncRNA from 1 species
GACGGUGUUCGUGAACGUGUGGGCGAUCGGGCGCGACCCGGCGUGCUGGGCGCCGGAUCCGCUGGCGUUCCGGCCGGAGCGGUUCCUGGAGGGUGGUGAAGGGAGAGGAGAUAGCGCGGGGCUGGACGUGCGCGGGCAGCACUUCCACCUGCUGCCGUUCGGGUCCGGGCGGCGGAUUUGCCCCGGCGCGUCGCUGGCCAUGCUCGUGGUGCAGGCGGCGCUGGCGGCCAUGCUGCAAUGCUUCGAGUGGGCGCCCGUCGGCGGCGCAACCGUGGACAUGGAGGAGGGGCCAGGGCUCACGCUCCCGCGAAAGCGCCCGCUCGUCUGCACCGUCAAGGCCAGGCUCCACCCAGUGCCGGUUCCCACUGCCGCUGCUGCUGAUAAUGGCGUGGACGGAACUCUCCAUUGUGCAUGACCAGUUCCAGGAACAUAUGAAGUCUUAUGUGUAACACUAAUAACUUCAAACAUUAUCUGCAUCAUGUGCUCGUGCUCAAGUACUGAAGUUUUGGAAGUUACUCAACUGGCAUAGCUGAAACAUAAAUGAGAACAAUUAGAGGACCACAAAACAUAACAACUAGAGAGUUGUGUACAGAAUACAAAAUGAUGACUACUCCUUGCAUUUUGCUUUGCCCACCAAUCUUCACUAGCAGAAAUACAUCUGGUCAUAGGAUCCCUUCCCAAACCAGUGGCUCUCAUGUUCAAUGUCUUCUGUUGUGAAUAUUUCUUCUUCAGUACAUCACAUAUGUUCUUUAUUUGGUCUUGGGUGUAUGACCUCAUUUUUCGGUCAAAGAACUUCUUUAAUAAAUCAACAUAACCCACACUAUUUAAGCAAUGUUGUGGCCUGUUAUGGGCAAGCACUUCUUCUAUGCACAUUUCAUUGAGAACUUUGGUGGCAAAAGGAUCCCAUUUUGCUGCAACCUUUGUUGUUUUUUCCCAUCAUAAAGAGAAACAAAUUUGAAUUUGUAGCAGCAAUAGAAGGCAACUCUAAGACCACUGAGGUCUACCGAGAAUACUACUGUCUACACUACUACCACAAAUUUGGCAAUCUUGACUAUCUACAGCAACCAUUUACUUGAUGAGCAAUGAACUAUGGAUUGGUUGCUCAACUUGGCGGCUUGGAGGCAGGCGGGACCUCGGAGGGAGGAGGUGGGUUGGUGGAGGAUGGCCAGAGUCUUGAGGAGGCAGGCAUCCUAGAGGAGGCCACCUGUCACGACCAAGAGCCGUUGCAACUAAAACCCUUUAAUAAAAAUCCUUUGAAAUUAUCCAAUAAAGGUUUUCAAAUUCUCAAAUGUAGCUUUAUCGGCUCCUAGCUUUCUCUGCUAGAACAAGGACUCCAAAUUUGUAUCUCAAUCCUUCUAAAUCUCUCAAAUCAAUCGGAGUCAAUGGUGAUCAAAUGAAGUCAAUGUCAAGAAAAUGCUCUCAGAGAGAUGCCCAUCAGGCAACAAGGAUUUCGUGGCUACUGAGUACUGAAUCACUCCCACUCACAGGUUGUGGAAGUUUUAGUGGGCUUGUGACCUCCUCUUCCUUCUCCAUACCCUUGUCCUCCACAUUCUUUUUCCAAGUUAAGGCAUCAUUGCCUGAACACGACGAGCACCACCAAUCACCUUGUAAAUCAUUGGAGCUUCUACUACUAGAUACUCUGCCAACCUAAGGACCACAUGAUUUCGCACCCCAAGAUCUCCAGUCUUGCAAACCCUCUCCUUUCUUCUUCUCGAGAAUGAACCGCAGGUCCCGUGAAAAUUGUUGUGGCUCACCUCUCUUGAGCGGUCAAGCCAGAUGCCACAAUGCUUAUCAAUAUGGCUAAUGUGACCACACGUGUAGCAAAAAUUCAGGAGAAACUCUAAACCCUAAACCCUAAACACCACUUCUCCCUCUCCUCACGCCCCCCUUCCCCUCCCCACCCAAAAAAAACACUGUUUCCAAAUGGGAUGAUCCAAAUAUGUUUACUAAUAGUCUCGACAAAAUAAACAUGACGACAGAGUCCAUUAUAUGCUUUGGCCACUUUUGGUUGUCAACAACUAGUUUGGAUUGGAUUGAAUUGCUCAGUUAUAGUUGGACUCAUUUUGGAUGGCUUCGAUUGGAUUUGAAUCUAGAUGCUUAACCAAGUUUACACAUGGAUCAUGGACCAUGUUAGAGCAACUCCAACAGUUUUGUAAAUUUUGUUUGGCAAAUAUUGUUAUUUACCAACUCCUAAAACGAUAUGGGGAGAGAACAAAAAGGACAUCUCCAAGUGUUUGGCAAUUUUGACUUGGCAAAAAUAAAAUUCUACCGGUUCGAAGAUCAACGAAGAAGCAUCAGGUUGUCAGCUUGCUAUAAAAGCACGCGCAUGCAGAAUGCCAAGCCUAUUCUAGGAGUGCAUAAAUGUCAAGAAAGGAGUAGAAUUUGCCAACUUGCUAUAAAUACCAAACCCAAUUGCCAAACUGUUGGAUAGGAGAUUUUGAGAGUUUUGACAAAAAACAAUAAUGACAAACCUAUUUACAAAACUGUUGGAGUUGCUCUACUAAGUCCUAAGGUUCAUUCAUACAAACUAGCCUGCCUGCACUUGCAAUUUUACAUUUUGCAGCUGCCGGCCUUUGCAGCCGGCCUCCGCUAUAAAACAAGACGAUGAUGAGUGGAUUAUGAUGCGUGCCGGAGCAGAAGUGUCUGCAUUAUUUUACCUGGUCAAAACGUUAACGCAAAGCUUGAUCCAUGUAUGUAAAGUCAGAUGCCUCGCAAGUUGCUACUUAGUAAAGGUGAUUGCAUUGUAUUAAUAUCAUUGUCUAUGAGUCUAUCACGCUCCGUUGAAUCUUUCCACUAUAUAAUAUAUGAUUAUGUGUUUGUGGUGCGAUGAUAGUAGGAAUAGGACACAACGACGCGGUAACAUCGGCUAGAAACAAACCAAUAGCCAUUGUUUGGACGUUGCUUCAAAAAGAAACUACAUGUAAUUUUAAAACCCAUUGAUGUGUCAAACUACAGUUUUUUUAAAAAAAAUGUCUAGAGCAGAGUUUUUAAAACUAAAAAAACCUACAUUGUUAGCAAUAUCAUGGAGUUUAAAACCAUAAAAUUUAUUACUUACAAACACUUUCAUGUCACUCUAGAACUAUAGUAUUUUAUAAAAUCAUAGUUUUUUUAAAAAACUCCAUAAGUAUUUUGUAUCCAGAAAUAGUAUUUUUGCUCUGAUAAAACAAAAAUUGCAUUGCGGUUAUUCGAUGAAGAGGAAACCACGGAUUCUUGAUCAAAUCCUGGCCAUAAUCAUAAAAAUCUAAAACAUAAAAUUGUAAAAACAUAGAUUUAUUUACUACAAUAGUAGAUUGGACACCUUAAUUAAGACCCUUUCUAAGAUGUAAAAUCAUAUGGUACGAUCAUGAAUCUGACAACUAUCAGGAUGUCUUAGAAUUUAGUUUAGAUUUUUGUUAUUCGGGGGUUGUUUGGUUGGUGAAAUUUUUUUGUUUCAGCUACUGUAGCAUUUUCGUUUGUAUUUAACAAUUAUUAUUUAAUUCUAGGCUAACUAGACUCAAAAGAUUCGUCUCGCAAAUUACAAGCGAACUAUACACUUAGUUAUUUUUUAUCUAUAUUUAAUGCUCAAUGCAUAUAUCGUAAGAUUCGAUGUGACAGAAAAAUCUUGAAAACGAACUAAACAGGCGUUGGAUUCAUCUAAGAUCUGCCAUAUAUUGAAAUCAUCAUCGAAAUUGGUUCACAUGCAAGGCAUCUUCCCCGUGUGCUGGUUGGUUCUGGGGGUGCAGGUCAAAGCAUCUGCUGUGCCAACAGUAACCAAUUGUCUCUAACACAUUAUAAAUUCGCAGUAAAACUUCACGUAGUCUCUCCGUCCUUCAAAUCUUAGAAACCAGGCAAGUUAUUUUUUUUUAAAUUUAACUAUAUUUUUAUAGAAAAAAGUGCCAACGUCUAUGAUAUAAAACAAGCACUCUAUUAAAACAUAUUCUAUAAUAAAUUUAAUGAUACUAAUUUGAUACUAAAAAUUUUAAUAUUUUAUUCUAAAAUUUCAACCAAAGUUUAAAAUUUGAACUUAAUACAAUUUUAAAAAUCUAUUUGUUUAGGGACAGAAAGAGUAUUAUAUAUCCACAGGUAAUUAAGUAUCAUUAGCAUAUAUAAGAGAAGUACUAUAUAAAUAUAACCCAUAAACCAGGGAGUAGACAGAUCUGAUAAGAGAAGCAGCACCUAGCGGCUAGAGCUCACUCGUCAACACUGGCAGGCAGAGAGGAAGUCACCAUGGAAGUGACCACGGCACGAGAUCAGCUCGUCAUCAACCCCACGGCUCUCCCCAUUCUACUCCUCGUUGCCGGCCUCACCGUCCUCUACAUGCGGAGCCGCCGGGGCAGCGCCAACGGCGGCCUUCGCCUCCCCCCGAGCCCAUUCGCGCUGCCCGUCCUAGGCCACCUCCACCUCCUAGCCCCGCUACCACACCAGGCGCUGCACCGGCUGGCAGCCCGCCACGGGCCGCUCCUGUACCUUCGCCUCGGCUCCGUGCCGGCCAUCGCCGCCUGCUCCCCGGACGCCGCCCGCGAGGUGCUCAAGACCCACGAGGCGGCGUUCCUGGACCGCCCAAAGCCCACGGCGGUGCACCGCCUGACGUACGGCGGGCAGGACUUCUCCUUCUCGCCGUACGGUCCAUACUGGCGCUUCAUGAAGCGCGCGUGCGUGCACGAGCUCCUGGCCGGCCGCACGCUGGACCGGCUGCGCCAUGUCCGCCGCGAGGAGGUGUCCCGCCUCGUGCGCUCCCUGUCCCGCAGCGCGGCCGACGGCGGCGGCGCGCCCGUCGACCUGAACGCCGUGCUCAUGGGCGUCACGGGCGACAUCAUCUCGCGGAUGGUCAUGAGCCGGCGGUGGACCGGCGACGACAGCGCCACCGAGGAGAUGAGGAGCGUCGUCGCCGAGACCGCCGAGAUCACGGGCGUGUUCAACCUGCAGGACUACAUCGGCGUGUUCAAGCAUUGGGACGUGCAGGGCCUGGGCAAGCGCAUCGACGCGGUGCACCGCAAGUUCGACGCCAUGAUCGAGCGGAUACUGACGGCCAGGGAUGCUGAGAGGCAGCAGCGGCGGCGGCAUAAGGAGGCGGCGGACGGCGCCGCCGGCGAGGGCGACAAGAAGGACCUGCUUGACAUGCUCUUUGACAUGCACGAGGACGAGGCCGCCGAGAUGCAGCUCACCAGAGAUAACAUCAAGGCCUUCAUGCUGGUACGUCCAUCGUUUUUUUUUAGUGUUGCGCAGAUCUAAUCAAGCAUCAUAUCGGGUUAAGCGACGAACAAAGAAAAAUAUUUCCUACCAUGUACUUGAUGGAAGCUACGAUUUCAUAAAAUCUGUGUAAAAUACGGGUGAAUGGCCCGAUCGUGAAAAAUAAAAUAAAAUCUGUGUACCGUUUGACUCGGUAAUGAAAUUGUUUGCCGGCGGAUCAUAUGUUAUACUAUAAAAAUCUUGCAGGACAUCUUCGCGGCCGGCACGGAUACGACGACGAUCACAUUGGAAUGGGCGCUGUCGGAGCUGAUCAACAACCCGGCCGUCCUCCGGCGAGCUCAGGCGGAGGUGGACGCCGUGGUGGGCGCGUCCCGGCUGGCCGACGAGUCAGACAUCCCACGCCUCCCCUACCUGCAGGCCAUCGCCAAGGAGACUCUGCGCCUUCACCCAACAGGCCCGCUGGUGGUGCGGCGAUCCAUGGAGCCCUGCAAGGUGUCCGGCUACGACGUGCCGGCCGGCGCGACGGUGUUCGUGAACGUGUGGGGGAUCGGGCGUGACCCGGUGUGCUGGGCGCCGGACCCGCUGGCGUUCCGGCCGGAGCGGUUCCUGGAGGGUGAAGGGGGAGGAGAGAGCGCGGGGCUGGACGUGCGCGGGCAGCACUUCCACCUGCUGCCGUUCGGGUCCGGGCGGCGGAUAUGCCCCGGCGCGUCGCUGGCCAUGCUCGUGGUGCAGGCGGCGCUGGCGGCACUGGUGCAGUGCUUCGAGUGGGCGCCCGUGGGCGGCGCGCCCGUGGACAUGGAGGAAGGUCCGG